AGGUGUGGGGAUCCAGCUGUGGGGUCUGCAGGUGUGGGGAUCCAGCAGCUGUGGAGAUCCAGAUGUGGAGACCCACAUGUGGAGACCCAGCUGUGGGGUCAGCAGGUGGCAGGGUCUCGUUAGCGCUCAUUAAGGCUCAUUAAGGCUCAUUAAGGCUCAUUAAGGCUCAUUAAGGCUCAUUAAGGCUCAUUAAGGCGGUGGAGGAGCUGGGGGGCUCAGCAGCUGAGGGGACCCCGACCUUGGCCUUCCUUAGGUGCUGGGGACUCAUUAAGGUUCGUUAGGAGGUGGUGGAGGUUCAUUAAGGCUCAUUAGGAGGUGGUGAAGGUUCAUUAAGGCUCAUUAGGAGGUGGUGGAGGUUCAUUAAGGCUCAUUAGGCUCAUUAGGGGGGAGUGAAGGUUCAUUAAGGCUCAUUAAGGUUCAUUAAAGCUCAUUAGGGACCUGGAGAGGUUCAUUAGUCCUGGGGGGGGCUCAUUAAGGCUCAUUAGGGGCUGAUGGGGCUCGUUAGGGGAUGGGGAGCUCGUUAAUACUCGGUAUUAAUUAGUGGGGGCUCAUUAAGGCUCGUUGGGUGCUGGGGGGACCCUGAGGUGGAGGUGAAUGAGGUCAGGGGCUAAUUAGAUCCGGGGUUAAUGAGGUCAGAGGUUAAUGAGGGCAGGGGUUAAUGAGGGCAGAGUUAAUGAGGGCAGGGGUUAAUGAGGGCAGAGUUAAUGAGGGCAGGGGUUAAUGAGGUCAGGGGUUAAUGAGGGCAGGGGUUAAUGAGGGCAGGGGUUAAUGAGGGCAGAGUUAAUGAGGGCAGAGUUAAUGAGGGCAGGGGUUAAUGAGGGCAGAGUUAAUGAGGUCAGGGGUUAAUGAGGGCAGAGUUAAUGAGGUCAGGGGUUAAUGAGGGCAGAGUUAAUGAGGGCAGGGGUUAAUGAGGGCAGAGUUAAUGAGGUCAGGGGUUAAUGAGGGCAGAGUUAAUGAGGGCAGAGUUAAUGAGGGCAGGGGUUAAUGAGGGCAGAGUUAAUGAGGGCAGGGGUUAAUGAGGGCAGAGUUAAUGAGGUCAGGGGUUAAUGAGGUUAAUGAAGGAACUCUGGGUUAAUGAGGUCAGAGUUAAUGAGGUCAGGGGUUAAUGAGGGCAGAGUUAAUGAGGUCAGGGGUUAAUGAGGUUAAUGAAGCAGCUCUGGGUUAAUGAGGUCAGGGGUUAAUGGGGUCAGGGGUUAAUGAGGGCAGAGUUAAUGAGGUCAGGGGUUAAUGAGGUCAGGGGUUAAUGGGGUCAGGGAUUAAUGAGAUUGGGGUUAAUGAGGUCGGGUUAAUGGGGUCGGGGUUAAUGAGGUUAAUGAAGCAGCAAUGGGUGAAUGAGGUCAGAGGUUAAUGAGGUCAGGGGUUAAUGAGGUUAAUGAAGGAACUCUGGGUUAAUGAGGUCAGAGGUUAGUGAGGUCAGGGGUUAAUGAGGUCAGGGGUUAAUGAGGUCAGAGGUUAGUGAGGUCAGAGGUUAAUGAGGUCAGGGGUUAAUGGGGUCAGGAGUUAAUGAGGUCAGCAGGGUUAAUGGGGUCAGGAGUUAAUGAGGUCAGAGGUUAAUGAGGUCAGGGGUUAAUGAGAUCAGGGG